AGUGAACGCUGGCGGUAGGCCUAACACAUGCAAGUCGAACGGCAGCACAGGAGAGCUUGCUCUCUGGGUGGCGAGUGGCGGACGGGUGAGGAAUACAUCGGAAUCUACUCUGUCGUGGGGGAUAACGUAGGGAAACUUACGCUAAUACCGCAUACGACCUACGGGUGAAAGCAGGGGACCUUCGGGCCUUGCGCGAUUGAAUGAGCCGAUGUCGGAUUAGCUAGUUGGCGGGGUAAAGGCCCACCAAGGCGACGAUCCGUAGCUGGUCUGAGAGGAUGAUCAGCCACAGUGGAACUGCGACACGGUCCAGACUCCUACGGGAGGCAGCAGUGGGGAAUAUUGGACAAUGGGCGCAAGCCUGAUCCAGCCAUACCGCGUGGGUGAAGAAGGCCUUCGGGUUGUAAAGCCCUUUUGUUGGGAAAGAAAUCCAGCUGGCUAAUACCCGGUUGGGAUGACGGUACCCAAAGAAUAAGCACCGGCUAACUUCGUGCCAGCCGCCGCGGUAA
rnacentral:rRNA from 1 species